UACGAACCGUGCGAACGUUAUUCGGAAUCACUGGGCUUAAAGGGCGCGUAGGCGGGCGGCCAAGUCAGGGGUGAAAGCCCCCAGCUCAACUGGGGAAGUGCCUUUGAUACUGGUUGUCUCGAGGGAGGUAGGGGCGUGCGGAACUUCCGGUGGAGCGGUGAAAUGCGUAGAUAUCGGAAGGAACACCUGUGGCGAAAGCGGCUCACUGGACCAUAACUGACGCUGAUGCACGAAAGCUAGGGGAGCAAACAGG
rnacentral:rRNA from 1 species